ACGGGAGGCAGCAGUGGGGAAUAUUGGGCAAUGGGCGAAAGCCUGACCCAGCAACGCCGCGUGAAGGAAGAAGGUCUUCGGAUUGUAAACUUCUUUUAUGAGGGACGAAGGAAGUGACGGUACCUCAUGAAUAAGCCACGGCUAACUACGUGCCAGCAGCCGCGGUAAUACGUAGGUGGCAAGCGUUAUCCGGAUUUACUGGGUGUAAAGGGCGCGUAGGCGGGGAUGCAAGUCAGGUGUGAAAUCUAUGGGCUUAACUCAUAAACUGCACUUGAAACUGCAUCUCUUGAGUGCUGGAGAGGUAAACGGAAUUCCUAGUGUAGCGGUGAAAUGCGUAGAUAUUAGGAGGAACACCGGUGGCGAAGGCGGCUUUCUGGACUGUAACUGACACUGAGGCACGAAAGUGUGGGGAGCAAACAGGAUUAGAUACCCUGGUA
rnacentral:rRNA from 1 species